UGCGUAGGCGGACUUUUAAGUCAGUGGUGAAAUCCCGAGGCUCAACCUCGGAACUGCCAUUGAUACUGGAAGUCUUGAAUUUGGUUGAAGUGGGCGGAAUGUAGCAUGUAGCGGUGAAAUGCUUAGAUAUGCUACAGAACACCGAUCGCGAAGGCAGCUCACUAAGCCAAUAUUGACGCUCAGGCACGAAAGCGUGGGGAGCAAACAGGAUUAGAUACCCUGGUAGUC
rnacentral:rRNA from 1 species